rnacentral:rRNA from 1 species
UACGUAGGGUGCAAGCGUUAAUCGGAAUUACUGGGCGUAAAGCGUGCGCAGGCGGUUGUGUAAGACAGAUGUGAAAUCCCCGGGCUUAACCUGGGAACUGCAUUUGUGACUGCACGGCUGGAGUGCGGCAGAGGGGGAUGGAAUUCCGCGUGUAGCAGUGAAAUGCGUAGAUAUGCGGAGGAACACCGAUGGCGAAGGCAAUCCCCUGGGCCUGCACUGACGCUCAUGCACGAAAGCCAGGGUAGCAAACGGG